UACAGAGGGGGCAAGCGUUGUUCGGAAUUACUGGGCGUAAAGGGCGCGUAGGCGGCCUUCUAAGUCGAACGUGAAAUCCCCGGGCUCAACCCGGGAACUGCGUCCGAUACUGGAAGGCUUGAAUCCGGGAGAGGGAUGCGGAAUUCCAGGUGUAGCGGUGAAAUGCGUAGAUAUCUGGAGGAACACCGGUGGCGAAGGCGGAUCUCUGGACAGUUACUGACACUGAGGCACGAAGGCCAGGGGAGCAAACGGG
rnacentral:rRNA from 1 species